AUGGAAACUGGGAGGCAGCUCGCGGCACCGGCAACCCCUCCCAGGGGUGGGUGGGGAAACCGAGCACGUUCUUCUGUCAGGAGCGGGCUCGGCGACAGCCCGGGCGCUGCUCGCGCGGCCACCCCGCGCCGGCGCGCCUGGCAGCCGAGCCCAGCCCGCGGCCCCCGCGCGGGGCUGCCGGGGCUGCCGGGGCCGCGGGGGCUGGGGGGCCGGGGGUCGCGGCGGCGGCUCGCUCGGGGCUUCCCGCCCCAUAGGGGCCGGGCCGGGCGCAGGGAGGGCCGCCGCGGGGCGAGCGCCACAGACACUUGUUUGCGAGGCUCAGCCCCGGCGCGCGCGCGGCGCUCCGAGCGGGCCCGCCUCCUCCCGGCCCGGGGGGCGGCGGCCCGCGCCCAGCAGCCGGGCUCCUCCUCCGGCUCCUCCUCCUCGCCCGCCCCAGUGCCCUCGGGCGGGCCCGGCACGACCCCCCGGCGGACAGGCGGGCGGGCGCUGGGCGCUCCCCGGCCCCGCUCGCGGACUGCGGCCGCCGCCUCGGCGUGCGCACACACACCCACACACACACACGCACGCGGCGGCAGGUCCAUGCCAGCGGCUCCCGGGGACCCGAGGAGCCCGCGCCCCCGGAGAGGUGACCCUCCCGGGCCUGCGCCGGCUCUUGCUCUUCCUCCCCCGGCGGGGGCGGGGUGCCCGGCGACGGGAUGGGGAGACACUCUACGAGGCGGGCCUGGCUCCGGGGCCAGGUGUCCCGCAGGGAGCGCAGAGCGCUCUGGGUCCCCUGCGGCCCCGAGGACAAGCCCGCGGCGGCCGCGCUGCGCGGGGCUUGCUGCCUCCCAGCCCUUUCUUUCUCACUUCUCCGACACGGCCGCUCGCGAUGUACUCGCUUUAUUUCUCCCCUUUCCCCCCCGCGAGCUCCCACGGCCGCAGAGGGACGGCCGCUGUCCUCUCCAGCCCGCGCCUCCCCUGCCCGGGGGCCCCGCCCGACCGGCCCGGCCGACGCGCGCCCGGCUCGCGCCCUCCCCGACUUUGCCGCGGGGUCGGAGCCCGCGCCCGGUGGGCACAACCCGUGGGCAGCGGAAAGCGGAGGCAGCCGGGCGGGGACGCUCGAUUUUCCGAGCCCCGCUUUCCUUUCACUGCCCACUGGGAUGUGUAGUUCUUCCUCUCGCCGACUGA
rnacentral:lncRNA from 12 species